rnacentral:rRNA from 1 species
UACGGAGGGUGCAAGCGUUAUCCGGAUUCACUGGGUUUAAAGGGUGCGUAGGAGGGCAGGUAAGUCAGUGGUGAAAUCCUAGAGCUUAACUCUAGAACUGCCGUUGAUACUAUCUGUCUUGAAUCCCGUGGAGAUGAGCGGAAUAUGUCAUGUAGCGGUGAAAUGCUUAGAUAUGACAUAGAACACCAAUUGCGAAGGCAGCUCGUUACACGAAGAUUGACUCUGAGGCACGAAAGCGUGGGGAUCAAACAGGAUUAGAAACCCCAGUAGUCC